rnacentral:lncRNA from 1 species
CAGCCCUUGUAAAUCCAGUCUCUGUCCCACAGAUCUGGGCUUCAGAUACCUCAGUCUCGUCCACACUGCAGUCCCAAGAUCUCAAUGCUGCUCCCAUUUGCAGAGAGACCAAGAGGGAUACACUCACACAAAGGAGCAACCCCGAGAUGCAGCAGCAGGACAAGGACCACCAGCACUCUCAGCAGGAAGACCCCAGGCUCCUCCAAACCCACAGGCACCCCCACACUGAACCUGCACGUCCCAGCUAGAGUCCCCAGAGACUCUUGUGGUGGUAAACCUGCUGGCACCCAGGCCAAAAUGGGUGCAGUCUCACGUGCAACCAAACCUGGAGUGUCCCCCGGAGCAGUCCUUUAGGCCGUGGUAGCUGUGGUAGUGGUGGUGGUUGUUGGCAGCAGGCAGCAGGUCAGCAGUAGCGACGGCUGCAGAGAUAGCUGCAAUUGCGGUUUUGGGAGCAGCGUCACCAGACUAUCUCCGGGGGUCAGCAGCAGUGUCAGCUUCAGUUAUAUCCGGGCAGUGGCUUCUGUGGCAGCAGCACCCAGAAAGAAGACCUCCAGGCACCCUCAGGCUGGCAGCAGCAACGUAGGUAGGGUGCAGGCAGCCACUGAUUGACAGGAGACUUCCAAUUCAGCAGCAGCGACCACAGAGGUAGAGAGGGAAUUAGCAACCAAGGUAACCCAAGCCAUGCCCGGAGAAGAGACCUCGGCAUGGCAAUGGCAUCUGAGGCAGCAGCGUGUGCCCCAGAGGUUCUUAACCCCUGAGCUACAUCCCAACCCUUUUUAUUUUUUUGAGACAUGGUCUCACUAAGUUUCUGAGGCUGGUCUUGAACUUGUGAUCCUUCUGCCUUGGCUUCCCGAGUUGCUGUGAUUACAGGCAUAUGCCACUAUGUCCAGCAAGAUGAACUCCUUUUUAUCUAAACUGAAGCAAAUCAGUCCUUGGUACUCAGAGAUUUCCAGGACAUAUGCCCUUGGGAAAGUGGGGUAGCCAGGACCACACAGGGAAGAGGCCAGGCAGCAGAAGUCCUCAGGGCCUAUAGUCUCAGUUCUAGUCAUCUAUUCAGUUGGCAGAAUACCAAGCAGGACUGUGAAUCAAGGGGACAGAGCCAAGGCUUGCAGGAUGUCAAGGGUACAAGUGAGCUGGGCCUCUUGAUGGGGGUCCUCUCUCAACACAGGUGGGUGGAAGGCAACAGACCUGAGCUUAGGGCAAACACCUGAAAAAGGAGAGUUGCUUAACUCCCGACAUGGACUCAAAGCUGGAGGCUUUAAAAUGUGCCUGACUGUUGUCAGGGCUUAGCUCAGAAGGGCCAGGCCUGAGCUCAUGGAGCUGGUGAAGGAGGGCCCACCCCCAGGACCCACCCCAAAGAUUUUUCUUCCUUAAGUCCUUGCUGAAUUCUAAGAAAUGAGAAAGCAUCAAAUCAGCAAAAGAAGAGGAUGAGGGAAAGACAAGAGGGCAUGAUAGGGGAGUCACAGGACAGAUGUAGGUUUAUAGGGACUUGAAGAUUGAGCAAUGGAGGAACACUUGAAAAUUACAAAUGCAAGAUUGAGCAUUGAGCUUCAAUGCUCAUAGUGUCCCUAAACCUAAGCUUUAUUGCCUUCCAAGUAGAUCAGCCUCUGUCCAGUGGCAGUGUGUGUGUUG